UUCUCGUACGAGGGUUCGAACCUCGGAUGCUUGAUUCAAAGUCAAGAGUGUUAACCACUACACUAUACGAGA
rnacentral:tRNA from 1 species